rnacentral:rRNA from 1 species
GAUGAACGCUGGCGGCGUGCCUAAUACAUGCAAGUCGAGCGAACAGACGAGGAGCUUGCUCCUCUGACGUUAGCGGCGGACGGGUGAGUAACACGUGGAUAACCUACCUAUAAGACUGGGAUAACUUCGGGAAACCGGAGCUAAUACCGGAUAAUAUAUUGAACCGCAUGGUUCAAUAGUGAAAGACGGUUUUGCUGUCACUUAUAGAUGGAUCCGCGCCGCAUUAGCUAGUUGGUAAGGUAACGGCUUACCAAGGCGACGAUGCGUAACCGACCUGAGAGGGUGAUCGGCCACAGUGGAACUGAGACACGGUCCAGACUCCGACGGGAGGCAGCAGUAGGGAAUCUUCCGCAAUGGGCGAAAGCCUGACGGAGCAACGCCGCGUGAGUGAUGAAGGGCUUCGGAUCGUAAAACUCUGUUAUUAGGGAAGAACAAAUGUGUAAGUAACUAUGCACGUCUUGACGGUACCGAAUCAGAAAGCCACGGCUAACUACGU